CCUACGGGUGGCAGCAGUGGGGAAUAUUGGGCAAUGGGCGCAAGCCUGACCCAGCAACGCCGCGUGAGGGAAGAAGGCUUUCGGGUCGUAAACUUCUUUUCUCAGGGACGAAGAAAGUGACGGUACCUAAGGAAUAAGCCACGGCUAACUACGUGCCAGCAGCCGCGGUAAUACGUAGGUGGCAAGCUUUAUCCGGAUUUAUUGGGUGUAAAGGGCGUGUAGGCGGGAGUGCAAGUCAGAUGUGAAAACUCAGGGCCCAACCCUGGGCCUGCAUUUGAAACUGUGUUUCUUGAGUGCUGGGGCGGCAAGCGGAAUUCCGGGUGUAGCGGUGAAAUGCGUAGAUAUACGGAGGAACACCAGUGGCGAAGGCGGAUUGCUGGACAGUAACUGACGCUGAGGCGCGAAAGCGUGGGGAGCAAACAGGAUUAGAUACCCGGGUAGUC
rnacentral:rRNA from 1 species